UACGUAGGUGACCAGCGUUGUCCGGAUUUACUGGGCGUAAAGAGCGCGCAGGCGGUCGUUCAAGUCGAGUGUGAAAGCCCCCGGCUCAACUGGGGAGGGUCAUUCGAUACUGAUCGACUCGAAGGCAGGAGAGGGAAGCGGAAUUCCCGGUGUAGUGGUGAAAUGCGUAGAUAUCGGGAGGAACACCAGUGGCGAAGGCGGCUUUCUGGCCUGCUCUUGACGCUGGAGGCGCGAAAGCUAGGGUAGCAAACGGG
rnacentral:rRNA from 1 species